rnacentral:rRNA from 1 species
GACGAACCGUGCGAACGUUGUUCGGAAUCACUGGGCUUAAAGGGCGCGUAGGCGGGCCGUCAAGUCCGGGGUGAAAUCCUCCAGCCUAACUGGAGAAGAGCCUCGGAGACUGGCGGUCUUGAGGGGGGUAGGGGCAAGCGGAACUAUGGGUGGAGCGGUGAAAUGCAUUGAUAUCCAUAGGAACUCCGGUGGCGAAGGCGGCUUGCUGGACCCCAUCUGACGCUGAGGCGCGAAAGCCAGGGGAGCAAACGGG